rnacentral:rRNA from 1 species
UACAGAGGUCCCAAGCGUUGUUCGGAUUUACUGGGCGUAAAGGGUGCGUAGGCGGUGAGGUAAGUCUGAUGUGAAAUCUCCGAGUUCAACUCGGAAAUGGCAUUGGAAACUACCUUGCUAGAGGGUUGGAGGGGGGACUGGAAUACUUGGUGUAGCAGUGAAAUGCGUAGAUAUCAAGUGGAACACCAGUGGCGAAGGCGAGUCCCUGGACAACUCCUGACACUGAGGCACGAAAGCUAGGGGAGCAAACAGG